rnacentral:rRNA from 1 species
CAGUCGCCGCGGUAAUACGGAGGGUGCAAGCGUUAAUCGGAAUUACUGGGCGUAAAGCGCACGCAGGCGGUCUGUCAAGUCGGAUGUGAAAUCCCCGGGCUCAACCUGGGAACUGCAUUCGAAACUGGCAGGCUAGAGUCUUGUAGAGGGGGGUAGAAUUCCAGGUGUAGCGGUGAAAUGCGUAGAGAUCUGGAGGAAUACCGGUGGCGAAGGCGGCCCCCUGGACAAAGACUGACGCUCAGGUGCGAAAGCGUGGGGAGCAAACAGGAUUAGAUACCCGCGUAGUCCCUGUCUCUUAUAC